rnacentral:lncRNA from 1 species
AUUUGUGUUUAUGCACACCCCAACGUUGACUCCUCUAAAAUGCCCGGCAGAGAGAAAAACUGGUGAUGUCAGAUGGGCAUUUUAUUAAGGAGCCAACUUAGGGUGUGCGUAAACCCUAAAUAUUCUCUUGGUGGUGGUGGAAACCCUAGCUGUCGAAUCCGCCGCCGGCGAGACGGCUGCCGCCCAGGCGCCUCAGCGGAAGAAAGAGACGCUCCAUGAGCUGCUCUCGAGGCACAAGACAAAAUUGAAGUGAAGUAUAAUUUGGAACGAAUCUACUGUAGCACGCGGGCGAGAGAAGAAGGCCAUAGCUAGAGGGGGAUCAUAGCUGCACUGCUGCUGGUAGGCUUUUAGCCUCGAAGUAUCAGGGUCUCAGUGGAUGCCAAACUGGGACCAAUCAGAACCACACUGCUGGACUGGUCGUCCUACGGCUGGUGAAAUUUCUUGAAAGACAUUUUGCUACUAUUUUGGUGAUAGGUAUGUUUUGUUUUUGCUGACGCUGAAAGAUUUGUAUUAGUACUGAAUAGGUUAUGGGCAUGUUUGGUUCAGCUUUUUUCUGAUUCGCUUUUCCGAGAAUCUAGCUGUGAGUAGAAUCUGGCUGUGUAGAGAAUCUGAGUAUCAUUAGGAUUACAUGCGGA